ACAGUCGAUGAGCACGGGAACGGGCUGAUACUUCACACUACGGGCCAAAAACCCCACGCCGGUGUCCGUUUGGAAAUGGCCAAAGAGACGGGAGUUCUCCCGUCUCUUAUGGAACUUUACGAGAGGACCCACAAGAACAAGGCGGGCCGAUUUAUAGAUUGCAAGUCCGAGCAAAUCUACAACGAUUUGGCUGCUCAGGUUGAAGAACGCCAGAUCCAGCUGACCCAGUAGUCCACCGAUGGAUUACCCAUCACCUUAUCCACACCUGAAGUGGAUAAGAUUUACGAGGAGGUAAAUUUUCUAAAAUUUUAAUUUUUUUUAUUAUUCAUUUAAUUUAACUUUAAAUUUUUACUAACAAAAUUUAUUUUUUAUUUUUAAGGUUGUCCCAAAAAAAAGAGACGGACGUUGGGGAUUGGCUCCGUCAACGAUGUUCCGAGAGCGACAUCGUCUUAUGGUCAGCGACGGGAUGAUGAAGUCUCUCAGCUGCGUAGGGAGUCCGAUGUGCUGCGUCAUGAGUUGAGCUCGACGCGAUCUCGUAUGAGUGGACUCGAGGGCUUGUUGGAUGUUGUAGCGGCCACAAAUCCGGAAUGGGAGACCUUGUUGAGGACCAUGCGACAACGAAAUCCUAUUCCAGACGAGUCAACAUCCGACACACAUGCCGAGUCGGAUGUAACGGCGAGGAGUGAUGAAUUCUACCGGGCGAUGAACGACUCUUAGUUCUUUUUAAUUUCGGUUCUUGUAUUAUGAAUUCAAAACUUAUUUAUAUAUAAAAUAUUUUGGUUUUGAUUUUUUUAGAAUUUUAAUUUUAUUAAUAAUUUAAAUAAUCUAAAUUAUUUUUUUAAUUAUAAUUUUUUUAUAUUUCUGUAAAAUAACGAAACGAAGUAAAUUCGUAGCUAAUUUUGCGACUUCUGUACGUGGAAGCUUAACGAAGUUUUUACGAGGAAAAGUUUACAAGGAAAUGACGUGGAAAGUUCACAUGGUCUUUACGAGAAAACCUAUCAAGGUAUUUACGUUUACUUUACGAGUAUUUACUUUCGAGUUAUUUACGUGGGUUUUACGAGGAACGCGUUUCGAGGUAUUUACGAGGAAGUUUAGCGACGUCCUUACGUGGAAUCUUUAUGUGGUCUUUACGACGAAGUGCUUUUCUUUGUUUUUACGACGAAAUUAUUUCCUCGCUAUGUUACGACGAAUUAGCGAGGAAAUAUGCUUUACGACAAACGUUUAACGACGAAACGGGUUUUCUCGGUAAUUCCUCGUAAAUUUGCUUUUACGACGAAUUCACGAGGAAACACGCCCUCGUAAAUCUUUUGUUUUCUUGUAAUGGUCAUAGACUACCAUAUUGAUCAUUUUUUAAUGUCCGAAGAGACAUGGUCUACCAUUUUAACUUUUUUUUUAAGGUCCGAGGAGACUUAGUCUACCAUUUUUGACCUUUUUAUUCACGGAAGCAAAGCCUACCACGUAUUUUUCUGAUCGUGAAGGCAUAGCCUACCAUAACGAUCAGUCGGGAAAGACAGCGCCUCUCAUCCCGAACGGAGAAGGUCCAGCCUCUCACUCCGAAACAAUGAUAAAAUUUAAAUAAAUUAAGUGUAUUGAAAUACAUAAAUUUAAACAUUACCUCGGCUGGUUUAAGAACUUUCGGAUUGAUAAACUUCAGUUGGUCAGAGCCUCGUGCUGAUAACUUGUUGUAAAUCAGUUGAAAAUAUGUGGCUUAUAUUAAAAGUAGAGUGGACAGCGAUGGAGAGAGAGGGAUGUAAUAUGAGUUUAUUGUGUUUUGGGUUUUUGUGUUUCUAAAAGGAAACAACGAGAAAGAGGAAAUUUUGUAAGAGAGAGAGAGUAGCUUUUUCACUUCAGAUGUUCAAUUAAUAAACAAGAGGAUACGUACAUAUUUAUAGUGAUAGAGAAAUAUGAUAGAGAAAUAUUAAAAUAUAACAUCAGUCGGUCAUAAAUAUCAGUCAAAGACCAACUUUGACUAAUAAGACAAAAGAAGAAGAUAUACUUUAUCUUCUAAAAAAAAUUCAAACAGCGAGCCCUCAGCAAAGCAAUCGCAAUCUCGAUCUCGGAGAAGGGAUAAGAAUUGGCGGCCAAAACCUUAAUAAGGUCUGAAGCUUCCCUGAUGAAUAAGUUUCUGACGAAGCCGUCAACGAAUAUUUUAUAGAACUCGGAAUCAGAAUAUAAAGAACGCUUUUCUUUAUUGCUUUAGAAAAA